CCACAACAGCACGAGAGACCCCAAAUGAGGACUGCCCAGAUGAGUUCAUUUACCCUGCAAAACUAAGAGGGAUAAUACUAAUGAAGCGUUGCCUCAAGCCACUAACAGUUUUACCCUGAUGGGAACCAUCAAGCAGAACCUUCUGGACCUGUACUUCCGAGUUCACUAGGGCUGGGAGAACUCAGCCCAGGGAUCAGCAACGCAUGUACGAGUCUCUCCAGAAGAGGCAAACAGCUUUUCAAGACAAGAAUAAGGUUAUUUCAUGGAUAUGACAGUGCCCGGGGCCCAGAAACAAUUCACACGAACUCAAUGAAUAACACUGACUGUAUGCUCUACAACUAACUAAUCUUCAGUUUGCAGAAGAGGAAACUAAAGGACAGGAAGUUGGCUGAUUCCUACAAUGAGCAGAAGUUACAGCAAAGGUCAAUGCCAGGACUGAGUUCCCUGUUUUUCUCACUCACAUUCUUUAAGUUGGUACCUGGGCCCCUGGUGCAGGAUGGGUUCUUCAUAAACCUUUAUUAAAUAAGUGUUCAAUAAAUCAAUACUCAGUUUUCUCCAUUGUAA
rnacentral:lncRNA from 10 species